rnacentral:sRNA from 1 species
CUAUCUUAGUCUUGGGCAAAGCCACUAGCAGCCAUGUUCUUAAGCUCAUUUAGCCAUAUAAGGCAGACCGGAUAAUCAUAUUCACAGAUGACGUCAAAAGGGUUUCUAUGUCACAACAGCCGCAAGUUAAAUAUCGU